rnacentral:rRNA from 1 species
CCUACGGGUGGCAGCAGUGGGGAAUAUUGCACAAUGGGGGAAACCCUGAUGCAGCGACGCCGCGUGAGUGAAGAAGUAUCUCGGUAUGUAAAGCUCUAUCAGCAGGGAAGAAAAUGACGGUACCUGAGUAAGAAGCCCCGGCUAACUACGUGCCAGCAGCCGCGGUAAUACGUAGGGGGCAAGCGUUAUCCGGAUUUACUGGGUGUAAAGGGAGCGUAGACGGCAGUGCAAGUCUGGAGUGAAAUCCCGGGGCUUAACCCCCGAACUGCUUUGGAAACUGUACGGCUGGAGUGCAGGAGGGGUAAGCGGAAUUCCUAGGGUAGCGGUGAAAUGCGUAGAUAUUAGGAGGAACACCAGUGGCGAAGGCGGCUUACUGGACUGUAACUGACGUUGAGGCUCGAAAGCGUGGGGAGCAAACAGGAUUAGAUACCCCAGUAGUC